ensembl:lncRNA
UCUGUCUGUCUGUCUGUCUGUCUGUCUGUCUGUCUGUCUGUCUGUCUGUCUGUCUGUCUGUCAAUUGAAGUGUGUAUAGACAGACUACAGUAGGCUGGCCCACCUGAUACACUAAACCUCCUGCUAGCUGGAGAUUAUGUACUUUCAGCGUAGUGCUGAGCGGUGAGCCAGGGUUCAGACUGUCAAAUCUCUCCUUACCUUGGGGCUGGGAGGACAAGACAGGACACACGUCCUCUGUAUGGUCAUGGUCACCCCAGACCUUGGAAAGGGAACAGAGCAGACUAGAACGCAGCAGACUACAGGAGGCCUUUCUGUCUGGCCUGGCCUGUCUGUUUGCCAGUGGUGUGACGGGAGCCGGAUACACACUUCACACAGUAUGAGAACCUCUAUACAGGAAACGUCUCCAGUCCAGACUACCUGUUCCAAAACCAUUAGUGGAGCUAUUUAGACAUUCAGUUGUAGAGUUUCUGUUUCACUGGCCUUGUGUCAGCUCACUUAUGGUCUGCAUCCCAUAUGGCACACUAUCCCUACAAAGUGCACUAUUUUUGACCAGCGCCCUAUGGACCCCGGUCUAUAGUGGUGCACUUUAUAAGGAAUAGGGUGCAAUUUGAGAUGCAGACCAUAGUCUGUCUCUUUCUAUGGAAUGUUCUAGAGUAUGGAAGGUUCUAGAGUAUGGAAGUUCUAGAGUAUGGACGGGUCUAGAGUGCUCAGUAAGUCAGACAGAGACACAAGCAGCUGGGGCCGUGGGGGCGUCAGUCAUUCACCUGUUCCAGGUAUUAAGUUCCAGACAAAAACACCACUGCAGGAUGGCCAAAUACUCAAGUCAAAUCACAUUUUAUUUGUCACAUACACAUGUUGAGCAGAUGUUAUUGCGGGUGUAGCGAAAUGCUUGUGUUUCUAGCUUCCAACAGUGCAGUUGUAUCUAACAAUUAACAACAAUACACACAAAUCUAAAAGUAAAAGAAUGGAAUUAAGGAAUAUAUAAAUAUUAGGAUGAGCAAUGUCAGAGUGACAUAGACUAAAAUACAGUAGAAUAGAAUACAGCAUAUGAAAUUAGUAAAGUAAAAAUAUGUAAACAUUAUUAAGUGACUAAUGUUCCAUUAUUAAAGUGGCCAGUAAUUUCAAGUCUAUGUAUAUGGGGCAGCAGCCUCUAAGGUGCGGGGUUACGUAACCAGGUGGAAGCCGCCUAGUGAUGGCUAUUUAACAGUCUGAUGGGCUUGAGAUAGAAAAUGUUUUUCAGUCUCUCGGUCCCAGCUUUGAUACUGGUUAAGUUCCUUCCCAGCUGUAAACAGUGGAAAAGGAGAAGAGUUGGGCCAGUCAGAACCGGGAUAGCUAGGACGGUCAGUUCAGGUACACUUCUGAUCUAGAGAUACUACGGCCAGUCUGCUGUACAAAGAGAAUAGACAGAGUCUUUGUGAAAGGCAGAUGGAAGGAAACCCAGUAAGGAUAAUAGUCUUUGGGCCUGUGUAGAGCCAGUCAGAGGAGGCAAACAGACCAAGAGAAGGGAGAGGGUUGGAGACGGUUCAUAGGCUGCAUCAAGCAUCCCUCUUCGAGGCAGAAAAAUAACAUUAUAAAGUUGACAGGCAUCCCCAGGGUUUAAGUGUUGUGUACGGUAGUGUGGUUUGUGUGCAAUUUUGAGCCACUUCGGUCACUGUCAAAAGCCUCAAUCUAAUCUACUCCUGUUGUGUGUGUGCUAACAGAGCGCUGGACAGAAGAGCGAGCUCUGAAACAUAGGAAUGCUGGAGAGCCAGCUGAUCACUGUGAACCUCAAGAAACAUGCCUUUGUCUUUGACUUGAGAAAGAGGAAAGUGUCUUCUGUUGCCAUGGUGCUUCUGAUGGACUCUGCAGGAUGACCAGAUGAAGAGGAUGUAUAUUUAAAGAACAUCUUCUCUAUGAGGCGUGAUGUGUUGUGCUGUUGCAACGUGUCACUGACUCUGUUUCUAUGACCUGAUCUUUUUCUAAAGGUGGAAUACACUGUAAAUACUUUGAUUUUUGUUGUUUCAUUUUUUUUCUUCGGUUAUCACAGCCAUCACCUUAUCCUAUGAGCUAGCCUCCUGCUCAGCUAGCCAUCAAACAUCUAGAUACAGUUACUGUCAAAAGGGUUUGCUGCAUUGCACCUCUUACUUGCACAAAUCUGUGAACAAACAACAAACACUUCAAUUGUUGUGUCCUUAGUUAGUUUGGAUGUGUGGGUCCCUUCCUGCUCUGUUCUCCCUAAUCAUGGUCUUCUUCAGUGCCUUCACUUGGUUUCAGUUAGCAUUGUGGGGUGUUGUGUCCUGAAAUGUAAAGCGGCUGCUGGCAGGACCCUUGAAGUUCACUGGAUGUCACUGGAAGGCUACUGUCCUGCAUGGAAACUAACUACUGGUUUAAUCAAUUUUGUUUCCACAUAAUUUCAACCCUCAAAUUCAAUGUGAUGAAGUUGAACUGUUUGGAGUAGAAAAGAGAUAUCAACGUAAGAGAAUUUCAGAUUUUGUUCACCUAACUUUUAACAUAAAUCCAAUGACUUGGUGACAUUUUUUGUUGAUUUCACAUUGAAUUAAAGUUAGUUGACAACUCAACCAAAUCAAAACUAUAUGUAGAACUGACAUCUGUGCCCAGUGGGUACUGACUGGAUGGCACAGGCUAACGCUAUAUAGCUUCCACUGAAAUGAUCAAAUAUCCUGGUUGCUGUACUUACUUGAACAUGAUUUUGGCAAAAAGUUGUAGAUAAUCAAUUGUGUAGACAUACAUUCAUUGUGUAUUUAACUGUUGGAAUGAAUAUAGAUUGAUAUACUGGAAUUGUGAUUGUUAGUAACCCCUUUUGGCCAUAGCCAAUAGCCCAUGAAAACAUGUUUCUCUGAGUUCUCAUUUCUCAAAUCUGACAUCUGCUGCUUUGGGUUAGUCCACGUAUCCAUGACGAUCCCAAGCAACCAUGACGAUCCCAAGCCUUUGUAUAUAUCAGGAGUCGACUGUAUUCAUCCACAUGUUUUGAUGAACCAAAUGUCCUCGACCCAUUGAAAAAGGGGUUAAAUGUGUACGUUGUCUCUGUUGAUGUGUUUUCUAUGUUUUCUCAUAGUUCAGAGACUAACAAGACAAUGGGGUUAUGAUCUGUGUUGUGUAUGUUAGACUUACUGGUUGAAAGCCCACAGACACUUUUUGUAAUAAAAUGGCAAUAUUUUUUACAAUA